UGGAAAUAAUAAUAAUUGCUGUAUAUCCCAGCUCUGAAUCUUUCCUUUCCAAUGAUAUAUUGCACCCAUUUCUAGUCCUGUUAGGUCACAAUUAACUGGAGCUUUUACCUAGCAUUGGUAUGGGACUGAAAAUUGCCCAUCCUGCACCUCCGACCAGUGUAAUCCUGGUGGGAAAUUUCACAUUUGAUGGGGAAAGAAGCAAAUAUUUUUCUAGCACCGUUUUUUUUUUUUAAAGGUGGCUCUUAGUUUUCUCAGGAGUUGGAAGUAGACCCAGUGGAGAUGGAUCUGGGGCAGAGUGCAUUUCCCCUCCCCCAUAUUUAGAAUUUUUAGCCCAAAUUACACUAGUGCAUGCACUGAAAACAUGACACAAGGGAGUGCUGAUAAGAAACCAAUCUUUAUUUACCGGCACCAGUCAGCUGGCAUAGAUCAGGGUUACAAAAGGUCUAUCCCUGUCACAUGGCAGGGGAUCAUUACCCAAUCACUCCAGUGGCUUCUCUGACAGUCUGAGUUACAGGACUGACGAUAUUCAGUACUGCAUUAGUGACCAGUUUAAGAUCUCAUCAGUUAAAUUGCAUAAUUUUUGUAAUAAUAAUUUGUAGAUCUUUUUAAUGCUAUAAAUGCUCUGCUGUUUUACGUGGAAUAAGAUUUAAUUUUAUCUAGGGCAGAAGGUAAUAUAACCCUUCUUAACCAAUAUAUUUUGCAUUUAUAUUUCAUGCUCUGAAAUACAGUGUUGACAUAAAUCAUUUUUAGUCCUAGUAGGCACUUUCAAUAUAAUCUCUUUCUCUUCAUUCACAUUCUACAAAACUGCUGCAGCCAGAGCAGAGCCCAAGAGUACAGAAAGGCCAACAGACCCUCUUCCUCAGAAUAACAGUCCAACAUGUACAUCUGUUGUUGCUCUGGAGAGAGCAGAGAUGGGCCUGAACCAAAACCCAGCCUCGCAUUCCUUCCUUCCCUGAACUUUAGAGACGUUUGGAUCCACAUCGGAACUGUGCAACUGCCUCCUGUCUCUAACAUGAACCAAAGAAAAACCCCACAUCCAAACUCCUCUGAAAUCCUGGGACGCUCCGAUUUGGAUUCCAACAUUGCCAUGUGGGACCAUCUCUACUGUUCCCCCUGAGCUAAUGGAAAGAGGAGGUUCCCCCUCAGCCAAAGUAAAGGGGAGGUAACUCUCACUCUGUUCAGAUGUAGAACUGAGUUGACUUAAGAUUUACAGAAGCAGCCCCUUUCCUGAGGAGAUCCGAGAUUGCAUAAAUCCAUUCAGUGACGGUCUUGCCAUUUGCAGGAGGCCAUGUUGGUGAAAGCGGGGAAGCUAGGCUGUGAAUCACCUCCUCUUCUACUCCCUUUUCUAGGAAGCGUGUGUUGUUUCCUUCCUCUCUCUACCCUCUGCCUCCCCUCCCCUGACGUACGGAGUUUGCAUGUGUGUGGGGGCCAAAGCAGUUGCUUGUGCUUGAGGCCAUCACUGCCUCCCAUCUCUCAUGAAGGCAUCUGGUGACGGCAGGAGCAGAGCCACUGCUCCUAGGUAGCUGUUUGGUGCAUGUUAGCCCUUGUAAUAUGCUGAACCGCUCUAGGAAAUCGUUUUAAAAUGGGCUUCAUACGUGAUGCGGAGGAGCCCAAGGAAAACACAGACCCCAGCCAAACCCAAAUUUAUGUUUGUGGUUUCUGGAGCUCGUGAGAUCAAUUUUGUUUGAGUUAAAAUUGAUUUUAAAGGUUUUGGAUUUUAUUCUCCCUCAUUCUUGGUUUUUGGGCAGGGAGGUGGUAGCAACGAGCAUCGCUUCAGCAUAUGGGAAGUGCCUCUGUAGGCCCACAGCCCUGGUAUUGAAAUUUGGGGCAGCUCAUGUGUGCAAACAGAGUCCUAGAAGGGUCCUGGGGAAGCAGAAGCAUGUGGAGGUGAUGCAGUUAGUGUCUCUGGCCAACAGGCCACUGGAGGCAUUCUAGAAAGCUAGCAAGGGCACGACUCAAACUCGCAGUUCCUGGGUGGUGCUUGGGUUCAGUGGCUGGUGCAUGUCACUUUGAACCAACCAUUUAAUCUCUGCGCCCAAAUAAAGACUGAGCCAAAACUGAGUGAAGAGGCCAGGCGUCGACUCUGAGAGUUUAAACAUCAGAGAGUCAACCUGUGCUAUGACAGGCACCUGUCUUCUCCUGCCAUAUAAUGAAAAGGGGCCACCUCUCUAGAGCUGUGAGUGGCUUGGCAGUUUCGUGCUGCACGAGUUGAUGUGAGUGGUUUUGAUCUGUGCAGGUUCAGACCUUCCCUCGAAUUUUGCUUUGAGAUUAGGAUUUGGAAGUCAGUCAAAAUAGCUAAAUUAGCUGCCUAGGUAUAGAAACUAUAUUCAAAAAUGAAAGGGCACAAAAGGAAGGGAGAGGCUCCCCACUUUGAGGCACCAGCUCAGAAUACAUUGUUACAAAGCUUGAUUUUCUUUUCACUGUUCACUCUAAAUAAUGAAAGCGCAUCUUAGAUAAGGUUGUUGUAUUUAAUGUUGCAAGAAACCUGUGGCCACCUAGGGCUUCCUGUUUGUUGCUAUGGUGCAUGUCAGGGCUACUCAGAACAUCAGAGCAGCAGCAGGGAUAAAAUCCAGACCCUCCUGCUUCAAAACACCACUUGAACAAAAGGAGACUCUCCAUUAUCUAUUAACAAUACAAGGUUUAUGACACAAAACUGGGUAGUUCUGAUCAGUCCAGUAGUGGGUGCUUUAGUGGUCCACAUACACAGUAGCUUUGCUGCUGCAGUACAAAGGAGAACAAGAAGGUGAAUGAAGGGCUAAAAAGAGGCGUGUGAGCAAUCCUUCUAUGAGAAUCAUGUAUGUGAGAGUCCACAAGCUACAGUGAUGGGUGCUUUAAAAAUCCAUAAAAUAAUAAAAUAAAUGUAAUUACUUGUAUUUGUAUUUUAAAUGUAAUUACUUGUAUUAUUUCUCAUUGUGUUGCAAAAUAUAACACCCUUGUUUUAAUUAAUGCAGCUGAAAGGAAAAAGUAAUUUCCGCAUUUAGCCUUGUUUCACUAACAAACUACAUGACACUACAGUAAUUCCAUGAUGUAGUAUUAUUGUAUUGAAUUAUAUAUUUAUAUGGCACCAAAAGCAGGCUAAGCACUUUCUUGACAAUAAUGAAGAUUAAGGGCCACAUUCUGAUCUCAGGUAAAUCUGGAGUAACUCUGCUGAAGUCAAAAGAAUCACUCUGGAUUAAACUGAGUUUGUAAAAGCCAUGUCUUGAAGACUGUCUAAUAAAAUAAUAUCAAUGCAAAGCUGAAGAUUUGCCCCAUGUUCCAGCAAAGCUGGACACAAGUUCACCUGUAAGGUUUGUGACCUUUAGUGAAUCAACGACACAUAAAGUGAGUUUAAUGCUUGUAUCAACAUCAAUAACUAGGUGUGAUAAGAGCAUUUUGUUCAUCUCUGCAUUCUUGCACAGAUCAAAGAUAAUUAGGCUUGGCAGAAUUCUAUUUGUAGUUUUUUAUAAUUUUGAUGGAUAAUACUAAUGUUUAUUUUUAACCAUUUUUGUUUGUUUCUUUUGAUUUUAUAUUUUCAUACUUGCAGGAAAUUAUUUGAGGGAUCACACAAUGAGCAGGUCAGGCAAUUAUUAUUUAUUGACAGUAGAUGUUGAGAUUCAAAAAGUUAAACCUUUAUAACAUUAAAAUAGAAAUUGUCGAUAUCAUAUCCAAAUAUACAAAUAUAUAAAUCAAACGCUAA